GGUCCCAUAGCUCAGUUGGUUAGAGCGUCGUACUAAUAUUACAUUGAAGUUAUAUCUAGUCAAUGCGAAGGCCGGCGGUUCGAGCCCGCCUGGGACCA